rnacentral:rRNA from 1 species
GUGCUUAACACAUGCAAGUCGAACGAUGAAGCCUUUCGGGGUGGAUUAGUGGCGAACGGGUGAGUAACACGUGGGCAAUCUGCCCUUCACUCUGGGACAAGCCCUGGAAACGGGGUCUAAUACCGGAUAACACUCUGUCCCGCAUGGGACGGGGUUAAAAGCUCCGGCGGUGAAGGAUGAGCCCGCGGCCUAUCAGCUUGUUGGUGGGGUAAUGGCCUACCAAGGCGACGACGGGUAGCCGGCCUGAGAGGGCGACCGGCCACACUGGGACUGAGACACGGCCCAGACUCCUACGGGAGGCAGCAGUGGGGAAUAUUGCACAAUGGGCGAAAGCCUGAUGCAGCGACGCCGCGUGAGGGAUGACGGCUUCGGGUUGUAAACCUCUUUCAGCAGGGAAGAAGCGAAAGUGACGGUACCUGCAGAAGAAGCGCCGGCUAACUACGUGC